GAUGAAGAACGUAGCGAAAUGCGAUAAGUAAUGUGAAUUGCAGAAUCCAGUGAAUCAUCGAAUCUUUGAACGCACAUUGCGCCCGCCAGCAUUCUGGCGGGCAUGCCUGUUCGAGCGUCAUUUCAACCCUCGACCUCCCUUUGGGGAAGUCGGCGUUGGGGACCGGCAGCACACCGCCGGCCCUGAAAUGGAGUGGCGGCCCGUCCGCGGCGACCUCUGCGUAGUAAUCCAACUCGCACCGGAACCCCGACGCGGCCACGCCGUAAAACACCCAACUUCUGAACGUUGACCUCGAAUCAGGUAGGACUACCCGCUGAACUUAAGCGUAUCAAUAAGCGGAGGA
rnacentral:misc_RNA from 1 species